rnacentral:rRNA from 1 species
GAUGAACGCUAGCUACAGGCUUAACACAUGCAAGUCGAGGGGAAACGAUAGAGAAAGCUUGCUUUUUCUAGGCGUCGACCGGCGCACGGGUGAGUAACGCGUAUCCAACCUGCCCAUCACUUGGGGAUAACCUUGCGAAAGUAAGACUAAUACCCAAUGACGUCCAUAGAAGACAUCUGAAAGGGAUUAAAGUUUUAUCGGUGAUGGCUGGGGAUGCGUUUGAUUAGCUUGUUGGCGGGGUACCGGCCCACCAAGGCGACGAUCAGUAGGGGUUCUGAGAGGAAGGUCCCCCACAGUGGAACUGAGACACGGUCCAAACUCCUACGGGAGGCAGCAGUGAGUAAUAUUGGUCAAUGGGCGAGAGCCUGAACCAGCCAAGUAGCGUGCAGGAUGACGGCCCUAUGGGUUGUAAACUGCUUUUAUAAGGGAAUAAAGUGAGCCUCGUGAGGCUUUUUGCAUGUACCUUAUGAAUAAGGACCGGCUAAUUCCGUGCCAGCCGCCGCCGUAA